rnacentral:tRNA from 1 species
GCAGUGCGUGGCCGAAUGGUUACGCUGUCCGCUUUGUAAGCGGAUGAUUCUGGAUUCGAUUCCCAUCUGCUCCA